rnacentral:rRNA from 1 species
UACGUAGGGUCCGAGCGUUAAUCGGAAUUACUGGGCGUAAAGCGUGCGCAGGCGGUUUUGUAAGCCAGAUGUGAAAUCCCCGGGCUUAACUUGGGAACUGCAUUUGGGACUGCAAGGCUGGAGUACGGCAGAGGGAGGUGGAAUUCCACGUGUAGCAGUGAAAUGCGUAGAGAUGUGGAGGAACACCGAUGGCGAAGGCAGCCUCCUGGGCUAGUACUGACGCUCAUGCACGAAAGCGUGGGGAG